AGGUGCGAAUACCCUUUGAUCCGUAGAUUUCCGAAUGGGGAAACCCACCUAAGGUACUUGGAAAAUCAGAGCUGCAGAGCGAUCUGCCGCUGUGGUUUCCAAGUAUCGAUAAUAGGUAACUUAUCCUGAAUACAUAGGGAUAAAGUGGCGAACGCGGGGAACUGAAACAUCUAAGUACCCGUAGGAAAGGACAUCAACCGAGACUCCGGAAGUAGUGGCGAGCGAACCCGGACCAGGCCAGUGGCGAUUGAGAGACAAGCGGAACCUUCUGGAAAGUUGGGCCAUAGCGGGUGACAGCCCCGUACGCGUAAUGCGAUCAAUCGUCCUCGAGUAAGGCGGGACACGUGAAAUCCUGUCUGAAAUUGGGAGGACCACCUUCCAAGCCUAAGUACUCGUGCAUGACCGAUAGCGAACUAGUACCGUGAGGGAAAGGUGAAAAGCACCCCGACAAGGGGAGUGAAAGAGUACCUGAAACCGAUUGCCUACAAACAGUGGGAGCCCGCAAGGGUGACCACGUACCUUUUGUAUAAUGGGUCAGCGACUUAGUGUGACGAGCAAGCUUAAACCGAUAGGUGUAGGCGCAGCGAAAGCGAGUCUGAACAGGGCGUUCAGUUCGUCGCAUUA
rnacentral:rRNA from 1 species